ACCAUUAUUGUACAUGCUGAUCUCUGCUGCUACUGCUGGACCUCUGUUGAUUGUAGCUGUGGUUGGGAUGUUCUGGAUCUACAAGAAAUGUAUAAAAACAGUCGAAACCCAGGAGGAAGACAGAACUGAUCCAGCAUUGUAUAAACCAACAACACGACGAAAGAAAUCAAAGACGGAGCCCGUGUAUGAAAAUGUCCCCAAAAAACAAUGAUCAAACAUUGUAUCUAGUGGAAGUGAUGAUAGAAUUCAUACAGGUCCCUGCCUCACACCAUUUGGUUUUAUUCACAG